UCCAGACUCCUACGGGAGGCAGCAGUGAGGAAUAUUGGUCAAUGGGCGGGAGCCUGAACCAGCCAAGCCGCGUGAAGGAAGAAGGCGCCAGGCGUCGUAAACUUCUUUUGUCGGGGAACAAAGGGCGCCACGCGUGGCGUUGUGAGUGUACCCGAAGAAAAAGCAUCGGCUAACUCCGUGCCAGCAGCCGCGGUAAUACGGAGGACGCGAGCGUUAUCCGGAUUUAUUGGGUUUAAAGGGUGCGUAGGCGGGAUGCCAAGUCAGCGGUAAAAAUGCGGUGCUCAACGCCGUCGAGCCGUUGAAACUGGCGUUCUUGAGUGGGCGAGAAGUAUGCGGAAUGCGUGGUGUAGCGGUGAAAUGCAUAGAUAUCGCGCAGAACUCCGAUUGCGAAGGCAGCAUGCCGGCUCCACACUGACGCUGAGGCACGAAAGCGUGGGUAUCGAACAGGAUUAGAUACCCGUGUAU
rnacentral:rRNA from 1 species